rfam:Macaca mulatta chromosome 8, whole genome shotgun sequence.
AGCUUUGCGCAGUGGCAGUAUUGUACCCAAUGAGGUUUAUCCAAGGCACGAUUAUUGCUAACAGAAAGCCAUG